rnacentral:rRNA from 2 species
AAAUUGAAGAGUUUGAUCAUGGCUCAGAUUGAACGCUGGCGGCAGGCCUAACACAUGCAAGUCGAACGGUAACAGGAAGCAGCUUGCUGCUUCGCUGACGAGUGGCGGACGGGUGAGUAAUGUCUGGGAAACUGCCUGAUGGAGGGGGAUAACUACUGGAAACGGUGGCUAAUACCGCAUAACGUCGCAAGACCAAAGAGGGGGACCUUCGGGCCUCUUGCCAUCAGAUGUGCCCAGAUGGGAUUAGCUUGUUGGUGAGGUAACGGCUCACCAAGGCGACGAUCCCUAGCUGGUCUGAGAGGAUGACCAGCCACACUGGAACUGAGACACGGUCCAGACUCCUACGGGAGGCAGCAGUGGGGAAUAUUGCACAAUGGGCGCAAGCCUGAUGCAGCCAUGCCGCGUGUAUGAAGAAGGCCUUCGGGUUGUAAAGUACUUUCAGCGGGGAGGAAGGUGUUGUGGU